rnacentral:rRNA from 1 species
GACGAACGCUGGCGGCGUGCUUAACACAUGCAAGUCGAGCGGUAAGGCUCCUUCGGGAGUACACGAGCGGCGAACGGGUGAGUAACACGUGAGCAAUCUGCCCUUCACACUGGGAUAACCCCCGGAAACGGGAGCUAAUACCGGAUACGACCACUUCGGGCAUCCGAUGGUGGUGGAAAGUUCCGGCGGUGAAGGAUGAGCUCGCGGCCUAUCAGCUUGUUGGUGAGGUAAUGGCUCACCAAGGCUUCGACGGGUAGCCGGCCUGAGAGGGUGACCGGCCACACUGGGACUGGGACACGGCCCAGACUCCUACGGGAGGCAGCAGUGGGGAAUAUUGGACAAUGGGCGAAAGCCUGAUCCAGCAACGCCGCGUGAGGGAUGACGGCCUUCGGGUUGUAAACCUCUUUCAGCAGGGACGAAGCGAAAGUGACGGUACCUGCAGAAGAAGGACCGGCCAACUACGUGCCAGCCGCCGCGGUAACAC